rnacentral:rRNA from 1 species
GGGGGGUUCCAUGCGCUCAAAGGCUAGCUAGGCGGAGAGCUAAUGAGAAGACAAUUGGGCAGCAAACCUCAUCUAGACGCGCGACUCCGCGAUAACGAACAAUUAUCGAACGACAGCUAAGCUAAUAGCUCAUCUAGGCGGCUAACCACAGCUAAGCCAGGUCGGCUAAUCCGUCCGAACACACCGACCAACUAAAGCGAGCAAACCAACGCACAGGAUCAGGAUACGCGGCUAAAACAACCGAGCGAAGUAGAUCCACACGCAUCGACCAACUAAGGCAAUCCAAGGUAUAAGACUUAAAUAAAUACGGAUUGAAAAAGUACCAAGUGGGAACAUCAUCAACGGACAGCCAGAUCAGACUUUAAGCACAAUAAUAACAACUAAGUAUAUGGCAUGUGAAGAAGUCUACUAACAACUUGUAUCUAGACGAUCCUCAAUGUGAUAUAACGGAAGAGUUGUACGGUUUCUAACACGACUAUCUAAACAAUUGAAAACCAUCCAAAACGAUGAUGAAAUUAGACAAUACAAAAAAAGAUCAAAAACGAUCUAUCCAACCAAGACAUGCUAACAACGGUUCAAAUAUACGACCCAAGAAAAUCCAAGAACUAAGACCUAAACAAAUGAUGAUCGAAAGAGUACCACGUCGGAGUAGCAAACGUAAACAAGAUGAGACUUUAAAUACAAUAAUGACAACGUGGACAGGUCUAACGACACAGGGUUAAACUCGUACAUAAACGAUCCUAAAUCUGAUAUAUCGGAAGAGUAGUCCGAAUUCUAACACGACUAUCUAACCCUAAAAAUGAUCUAAGUAUAACUCUACAAGCAAAUAGACAUUGAUCCUAAAGUAGAGAGACAUGGACAUAACAAAUACAGGACGUACAAGGGAAAGUUGACGAAGAAUGAGACCCAAAUGAAACAUAAAUGUCUACGUCUAUAAACACUUCUGGGAGUGGCCGUUCUGGUAGUGGGAACUCCAACUCAGUAGCCUGUGGUAGCUGUUGCAGUUCCGCUUCUAAAUCCUGUUCCUCCCAUAGGGGGGCCUGGUCGUCGCGGAGUAGAAACGACCGUUCGUCGAGCUCCUACCAGCAUGGGAACGACUGAUGUUGUAGGUCUUCCUCAGGUGAGAGGUGGACCACGAGGCGGAAGCACCACCAUACGUCUAGAAGCAGUUGUGGGACUGCCCGUUCUGGUAGUGAGACCUCCACCUCAGGAGCCUGUGGUAGCUGUUGCACUUCCGCUUCUAGGUCCUGUUCCUCCCGUAGGGGGGCCUGGUCGUCGCAGAGUAGAAACGACCAUUCGUCGAACUCCUACCGGCGUGAGACCGUCUGAUGUUGUAGGUCUUCCUCAGAUGGGAAGUGAACCACGAAGCGGACGCACCACCGGUCAUUCACGGACCAGUGCCACACCGAAGACAACCCAAGUGUCCAGAACACAGCAGCCACAGGAGGUUAUCCACGCGAACAGACCAGCACAGCAACAAAGGUAGUGACUAGACAAGCCAACACAGCUAAUGACUAGACAAGCCAACACAGCUAAUGAACGGCACCGAAACCUACCACUUGAUACUAAUUAUUCCCUCGAGAAUUAUAGCACGCAUUAAACACAGUCAAGAAGUAUGGACACGACGACGACAAACAGACGCGGACAUACCGUCUUAACCUAUUAAACGUUCAAAACAACGGAAUAGUAGU